GUGAAUCAUCGAAUUUUUGAACGCAAAUUGCACUCUCUUCGGAGAGUAUGCCUGUUUGAGGGUCAGCCUAAAUAAAAUCGACAUCGUUGCUGUUUUGCGGUGGCGUUUGUCGGAAAUUGGGUUAUUUUUAUUCUUGGGUUUAAGCGACUUAAAUUUAUUUUUUCGAUUCAAUGUACAUUUCCAAGAUUUAUUUCUUUACACGUUUUAGGUAUCGAUUUUAUUAAGUGUGGUCUUCAUCUCGGAUCA
rnacentral:misc_RNA from 1 species